UUUUUCAUAGACAAAAAUGGGAUAGGGAUUUGGAUUUAUAAUAGAGGUUGUCCUCGUGGAGUGUAGUUUAAUCAGAAUAGAAUACACAUGGCCACUCCACAAGCACAAACGGCACCGCUUCAAGACCGAGUCGCAAUCGUCACCGGCUCCUCCCGCGGAAUCGGUCGAGAAAUCGCGAUUCACCUCGCUUCACUCGGUGCCCGACUCGUCAUCAACUACACCUCCAACUCGGACCAAGCCAACUCAGUCGCCGCCCAGAUCAAUGCCGGCUCCGCCACCUCACGAGCCAUCACCGUCAAAGCCGACGUCUCCGACCCAGACCAGGUGAAAUCCCUGUUCGACUCCGCCGAGCAGGCCUUCGACUCGCCGGUUCACAUCCUCGUCAACUCCGCCGGCGUCAUCGACAGCACGUACUCCACCAUAGCGGACACCACGGUGGAGACCUUCGACCGCAUCAUGAGCGUGAACGCGAGAGGGGCGUUCCUGUGCGCGAAGGAGGGCGCGAACCGCGUGAAGCGCGGCGGUGGAGGGAGGAUCAUCCUGCUGACGACGUCGCUUGCGGCGGCGCUGAAGCCGAAAUACGGCGCGUACACGGCGUCGAAGGCGGCGGUGGAGGCGAUGGCGAAGAUCCUGGCGAAGGAGCUGAAGGGGACGGGGAUCACGGCGAACUGCGUGGCGCCGGGGCCGGUUGCGACGGAGAUGUUCUAUGAGGGGAAGACGGAGGAGAUGGUGCAGAAGGCGAUUGAUGAGAACCCGUUGUGUAGGCUCGGUGAGACCAAGGAUAUUGCAGCUGUUGUUGGGUUCUUAGCCAGUGAUGCUGGUGAAUGGGUCAAUGGUCAAGUGGUUCGUGUCAAUGGUGGCUAUGUUUAGUCCUUGCUAAUUAAGCUAGGGUAAACAUUGCAUUGCAUACUUUAUUUGGCUUCCUAAGUUCCUACCGCCGGUCGCCAGCAAUGAAACUAAUCCUCCCAGCUGGUCGGCAGCCAUGAGACCAAUCCUCCCCGCUGGACGGGGAUUACAUUAAGUUUUGGGAGUUAGGAAAAGGGAUAGUUAGUAGUGGACUUUGGAGGCUCCUCUAAUGCUUGAUUGAAUAACUGAAAAGAGCUUGCAAGUACUUACAAAGGUUAUUUCUUGGAGUAGCAUUGUAUUGGCAAUUCAAGGGUGGAUUUCUAUUUGUUAUCUGAUAGUUUAAUACCUAAUGAAUGUCUAUUGAUGUGUGGUUAAUUAUUCAGUGAUAGACGUAUAAAUGGGAGAAUCAAUACAUAUUUUAUUUCGUGCUUA